ensembl:lncRNA
CUAACUCUGUGUCAGAAACUCUUCUAAGCACUUUAUAUAUAUUAGUUCUUUUGCUUCUCACUAUAGCCCUAUGAGGUCAUUGCUAGAAUCAUCUCUAGUUUUCAGAUUAAGAACCUGGAGCACAGGGGGUGAAGCCAUAGUUUCUUCACUUAAAAGUGUUACAGUCUAGUUGAUAAUGGGUAGAGUAAGCAGCCAUUCAAUCUGAUGUAAUAAAUGCAAGGUGAGGGCAGGUGCUGGUGCUCUGAGAACUUGUGAAGGAGCGUCCAGCCCAGGCCUUAGGGUUCAGGGAAAGCGACAUCAUAUGGAGAAUGGAGGAGCACAGGACAGAUUGCCAGGAAAGAGAGGGAGGGGAGGGCACCACAGGGAAGCGGGCCUGUUUGCACUAUAUGGCAGGAGAUUUCCUUGGGAGGGGAGAGCAGGUGUGAAAUGAUAGUGCAGAGCUUGGCAGGAGCCAGCUUAUGAAGCCUUUUUAAACCAUGUCAAAACAUUUGGAUUUUAUACUGAACAUAACAGAAAACCAUUGAAGGAUUUUAAGCAGAAAGUAACCUAAAAUUCACGAUUUAGAAAGAUCUUUCUGGCUGCAGUGUAAAACACAACUGGAAUGGAGACGGGGGUGGAAUGGCUUGGAGGCAGGGAGAUGUUAGGAAGCUGCUGCAGUGAGAAAUAUGGGUGACUUGAACUGUGGUGGUGGCAAAGGUAAUGGUGGAAGGGGUCACAUUUGAGUUAUUUAGAGGGCAGAAUUGAUGGAAGAUCAGAUCAGUGCAUGUAAAACAUGAAAACUUAGGCAAAUUAUCAGAAAAUGCAAGAGAAUCAAGCUCCCAACUGUCUGUGUCUGUGUUGGGGAUUUACCUGCCUGACAGAGUAGAGAGACCCACAGGCCCAUCAGCCACCCAAUGUCCCCUCUCCCAAAGGCAGUUCCUUAGCGACUUCACUUUUGUUAUGGUUUGGAGGCAUACCAUAUUCCCUUCUGAGGAAAUGCAGGUGCCCUCAGUUAGCCAGGUAGGCAUUUACCUGGAAGGCAUUCCACUUCCUUAAGGCGGCUCUGCAGGACUCUGCUAUGACCCAUUUUGUGUUGACUUCACAGUAUAAGUGCCAGAAGGCAAUCAUAUUUCCCUUAUUUCCAGGUUAUUGGGGUGUGCCCAUGCAGAUGUCUCCCGCACAUACUUUCUCAUUGCCUUGGUUUCACAGACACCUUGAAGGGCCACAGAGUCAUCCUUGCUCCCUGACUAAUGCUUGAAACAUCCCUCUUCGAGGUUUAUGCUGUGCCUUCACAGGAUGGUCCCCGAAACAAGAUGAAAAAGACAAGUUACCCCAGAGGAACCCAGAACCAAAGACUUGAGAGGGAAAAGAAGUGACCCUGUCUCAACUGGCUGCAGUGAUGGGAAGGCAGCAUUGAUGUGAAGGCAAAUAGAAGAAUUUAUGCUUUAUUUCUGAAGAUUUUGGAAGGCUUUGCUUUUUGUUCAGAAAGUGUGGUAAAGUAACUGUACAUUUACAGAAAGCUCUGCCAACCAUCACAUUGAAACGAAAUAGAAAAUCUCAGCUGUGCUACAACUAAGAAAGGUCCCUAAUCUCACACUACAAUCUCUGAAAAAUAUCUGUAAGAUGCAAUUUUAUUUUUAUCAAAUUGAAUCUGGCCUGAAGUUGACAAAGAACAACUCUCCUUAAGAUCAAAGUUGAACCUAGUGUGGGGAAAAGGAUAAUGAUUUCUGAAGGCCCCCAGUAAUAUCUCUGUGAUUGGAGGUAAUGAGACUGGAACAUAAAUAGGCCACAUAAAGGGCAGGGAAAAAAUUUAGUUCGUUUCAAUUUUACAGAUUAGCAGAGAUGGUGGGGCAAGGAGAGAAACAGCACGAACAUACUUUACCAUUGUCUUCUCUGGUCCAGCUUCCAAACAGGAGAGAUGAUAUAUGGACGUGAGCUGACUUUUCAGCAAUAGGCCCAAUUCAGGAGAAAUUAUACAGCUAUCCACCAAAAAGAAGAAGGAGAUGAUUCAUUGCUACUCAUCUUCUCACCAAAGUGGGCAACUGACAAGUGACUAUGUGCUGAAAUCCAAGACGUGGACGUUCCCCAAACUUGAAAGCAUAAAGCAUACGCUAAAAAACAGUGAAGAUGUUCCUGCGUUCACGGAGAAACUCAGAAACAGAACUCCACAGUCGAAUAUUCCCCAAGCCCCAGAAAUUUCCUCUCAGAUAAAUUCUUCAUCCAACAUCCAACUUUUCACUCAAUUCCUAAGGGAGGAGGCUGAAGGGACUUUUUGAGUUAAUAAGGAAGACAGUCAAAAAUAUCCCUCCUAUACUAUUUUGGGGAAAAUAGCCAGCUGAGUGGGAAUUGCCCCAUUCAAAGAGAAUGAAGGAGAAAUUUAUCAGCCUGUGGUCUAUGCAUAGUCGUAAAGUAAAAAAAAAAAAAAAAAAAAAAAAAAAAAUUCGGCCUGGCUUCGUCACCAACUGGUUAAAGUCCUGCAUGCUUUGCUGUAGUGGUCUGGGUUUGUGGGUUCGGAUCUUGGGCACAGACCUACUCCACUCACCAGCCACACUGUGGAGGUGUUCCACAUCUAAAAAACUAGAGGAGGGUUUGCACAGAUGUUAGCUCAGGGCUAAUCUUCCUUGAGGAGGGAGUGGAGGCACCAUAACACAGGGCAAUAAUGCCGUAUCUGGGAAGAGAUUUACCUUCCUGCCAUAAACAACAAGAAAUUUGAAAAUACCACUUUUACAUACAGAGAAACAGGUAGUACAGGAAUAUAAUCCUUAAGAACAUUACAUUUUCUGGACGAUGGUGUAGGGAGGGGAUCACAACAGGAUAUGUGUUCUCACUCAGUGAAUGAGACAAAAGAAAAAGAGUUUGGGAAAGAAUGCUGGAGAUGGGGAAGGUAUGUAGAUAAAGAGUCCCAGAAAGCUAUAAACUGUCUUCUGGAAUCUUCAGCUCAAUAUUAACCAGCGCUCGUGUAAACUGAAACUCCAAGUGGGAUAUAUGAGGUUGGUUCAAAAUAGAAAAUCUACUAAUGUGAUUUGCCAAAUAUGUUAAUUUUCUAUUGCUCAUGUAAUAAAUUUCCACGAACUUAGUGGAUUAAAAUAAUACAAGUUUAUCACUUUGUAGUUCUGAAGGUCAAAAGUCUGAUGCAGAUCUCACUGGGCUGAGAUGAAGGUGCCAGCAAGGCUGCAUUCAUUUUUGGAGGCUCCAGAGGAGAAUUCGCUUUCUUGCUCAUUCAGGUUGUUGGCAGAAGCCAGCACCCUGUGGUUGUAGUACUGAGCUCUCCGUUUUCUUGCUGGCUGUAAACUGAGUGCUGUUCCCAGUGUCUAGAGGCCAUUGCAUUGGCUCAUGGUUCCUUUUCUCCAACUUCAAAGCCAGUAAUGCUGGGCCGAGUCCUUCUAACACCACAUCUUUCUGACCCUCUCUUGUGCUCUUCUCUUCCACUUUUUAAGGAUCGUGUGAUAGGACUGGACCCACUUGUAUAAUCCGGGAUAAUCUCUCCAUCUAGAGGUUUAUGUUUAAUCACUCUAGCGUGUAAACUAACAUAGUCACCGGUUCCAGGGGUUAGGAUGUGAACAGCUUUCCGCCUACCACAUGAUAUCAAGAGACUGAUGGAGAAAAGCUAUGGAAUCAUUUCAAUAAUGUUAAAAGAAUAUUCAGU